CCUACGGGGGGCAGCAGUAGGGAAUAUUGCUCAAUGGGGGAAACCCUGAAGCAGCAACGCCGCGUGGAGGAUGAAGGUUUUCGGAUUGUAAACUCCUUUUGUUAGAGAAGAUAAUGACGGUAUCUAACGAAUAAGCACCGGCUAACUCCGUGCCAGCAGCCGCGGUAAUACGGAGGGUGCAAGCGUUACUCGGAAUCACUGGGCGUAAAGAGCGCGUAGGCGGGAUAGCAAGUCAGAUGUGAAAUCCUAGGGCUUAACCAUAGAACUGCAGUUGAAACUGUUAUUCUAGAGUAUGGGAGAGGUAGGUGGAAUUCUUGGUGUAGGGGUAAAAUCCGUAGAGAUCAAGAGGAAUACUCAUUGCGAAGGCGACCUGCUAGAACAUAACUGACGCUGAUGCGCGAAAGCGUGGGGAGCAAACAGGAUUAGAUACCCCUGUAGUC
rnacentral:rRNA from 1 species